rfam:Schistosoma mattheei strain Denwood, Zambia genome assembly, scaffold: SMTD_scaffold0011028
AUCCAGCUGAUGAGUUCCAAAUAGGACGAGACGCGUGUGCUAGAU